GCAUCGUUGGUCUAGUGGGAGAAUGCUCGCCUGCCACGCGGGAGACCCGGGUUCGAUUCCCGGACGAUGCA
rfam:Emiliania huxleyi CCMP1516 EMIHTscaffold_384_Cont7303, whole genome shotgun sequence.